rnacentral:rRNA from 1 species
CUACCCAUGAGCAGGAUGAAGCGAAAGUAAAAUUUCGUGGAGGUCCGAACCCACGAGCGUUGAAAAGCUCGGGGAUGACUUGUGGGUAGCGGUGAAAUUCCAAUCGAGCCCGGAGAUAGCUGGUUCUCCCCGAAAUAGCUUUAGGGCUAGCCUCAAGGUGAGAGAUACGGAGGUAGAGCACUGAAUGUCCUAGGGGGUAUUGCACCUACCGAAGACUAUCAAACUCCGAAUGCCGUCAUCUUAUACUUGGGAGUCAGACUGUGGGUGAUAAGAUUCAUAGUCGAAAGGGCAACAGCCCAGAUCGUCAGCUAAGGUCCCUAAAUGUAAGUUAAGUGGUAAAGGAUGUGGGAUUGCACAGACAACCAGGAUGUUGGCUUAGAAGCAGCCACUCAUUCAAAGAGUGCGUAAUAGCUCACUGGUCGAGUGAUCCUGCGCCGAAGAUUUCCGGGGCUAAAACUUACUACCGAAGCUACGGCAUCAGUAAUGAUGGGUAGGGGAGCUUCCCAUACGGGUUGAAGCAUGACCGUAAGGACAUGUGGACAGUAUGGGAGUGAGAAUGUUGGCAUGAGUAGCGAGAUGUGGGUGAGAAUCCCACAGGCCGUAAACCCAAGGUUUCCAGGGGAAGGUUCGUCCGCCCUGGGUUAGUCGGGACCUAAGCUGAGGCCGAAAGGCGUAGGUGAUGGACAACAGGUUGAUAUUCCUGUACUACCGAUAACCGUUUGAGAGAUGGGAUGACACAGUAGGAUAAGCUAAGCACACUGUUGGUUAUGUGUGCCCAAGCAUUGAGGCAGUCAAAGUAGGUAAAUCCGCUUUGAUAAUGCUGGGAUGUGAUGGGGAGCGAAAUUUAGUAGCGAAGUAGCUGAUUUCACACUGUCAAGAAAAGUCUCUAUCGAGGUUAAAGGUACCCGUACCGCAAACCGACACAGGUGGGUGAGGAGAGUAUCCUAAGGCCAGCGAGAGAACUGUUGUUAAGGAACUCGGCAAAAUGACCCCGUAACUUAGGGAUAAGGGGUGCCACCGACAGGUGGCCGCAGAGAGUAGGCCCAAGCGACUGUUUACCAAAAACAUAGGUUUCUGCUAAGUCGCAAGACGAUGUAUAGGAGCUGACGCCUGCCCGGUGCUGGAAGGUUAAGGGGAUCUGUUAGAGCAA